rnacentral:piRNA from 1 species
UUACAUCCUUCAUUUCAUUUAUGGGGUGUC